rnacentral:rRNA from 1 species
UAGAGUUUGAUCCUGGCUCAGGACGAACGCUGGCGGCGUGCCUAACACAUGCAAGUCGAGCGAUGAAGCCCUUCGGGGCUGAUUAGCGGCGGACGGGUGAGUAACACGUGGGUAACCUGCCUCAUAGAGGGGGAUAGCCUCCCGAAAGGGAGAUUAAUACCGCAUAACAUAUUUUGGUCGCAUGAUCGAAAUAUCAAAGGAGUAAUCCGCUAUGAGAUGGACCCGCGGCGCAUUAGCUAGUUGGUGAGGUAACGGCUCACCAAGGCGACGAUGCGUAGCCGACCUGAGAGGGUGAUCGGCCACAUUGGAACUGAGACACGGUCCAGACUCCUACGGGAGGCAGCAGUGGGGAAUAUUGCGCAAUGGGGGAAACCCUGACGCAGCAACGCCGCGUGAAUGAUGAAGGCCUUAGGGUUGUAAAGUUCUGUCUUCUGGGACGAUAAUGACGGUACCAGAGGAGGAAGCCACGGCUAACUACGUGCCAGCAGCCGCGGUAAUA